UCCGUCUCGCGGUCCCAGCGGGGGGCUGCUCAUCUCGCCUCUGAUUGGCUGACCUGGUCGGUGGGCGGGGCCGUGUCAUCUGCCCCGAGGCGACUGCUCCCUGCAGAGCACACCAGUCGACCGGCAGAGGUGAUGGGUGGGUGAGCCCGAGGCGACGGCCGGGGUCAAACCGGGCCGCACGAGUGGAUCGCUUCUGACAGGACGGCGAAACCGGAUUCGCUACUGGAAUAUGUGGGCAACGAACCUUGACUUGGAUCUGGAAGACAGCUGUGACGUCACCACGUCUGGUAUUACGUCACACGAUGCAUCCUCACCGCCGGGCAUCUAUCAACUGGACAGGAAGAAAUCAGGUGCUGUGCUAUCCCGCGAGGAGCGCCGCCGCCGCCGCCGCGCCACUCAGAAGUACCGGCUCGCGCACGCCACUCGCGAGCGUGUCCGAGUCGAGGCAUUCAACACAGCCUUCUGCGAGCUUCGCAAGCUUCUCCCGACGCUGCCUCCGGACAAGAAGCUCUCAAAAAUCGAGAUUCUGAAACUUGCGGUGUGUUACAUAGCUUAUCUCAACCACGUGCUUGGAAGUGCGUAAAACGGCAUCUCUGUAUUAUUGUUAUCGUGAAUCAUUACCAAAUGAUACACGUUCAUCAUGAUUUAUUCGCGGGGGAACUCGCCCAUAGCGUGUUGAGUGUUACCUGUAUGAAUUAUGUGUUCAGAAGCAUUCUCUCACUCAUAAGCUGCUGGCGAUUAUGUGAGCACAAUCUUGAUAAUUACAUCUAGGAAGAUAAACUGAAACAACGGCAGUAAGCUAUUUAUAUUGUGCAAUAACGACGUGUUUUAAUGCUGAUGUUAAGUGUUCCCUUGCUCACACUUUGUUACCUGUAAUCAUAUCUUACUCUGCAGUCUGCAUCCUCACCGACACUUUCCUUUAAGAUAUUUCAGGCCCUUUUACACUUUGGGAGUGUGUAGGAAAAUUUUAUGCUGCAUAGAUGACCAUUAUUGUUGCAUCUUAUUAUGCAUGCAACUUUCCUGUCGAAUUGAUGUUCAUCUGAUUAUGUAGAUGGUUGAAAGGAUUUUGUUUGAGGACGUCUCCAGAUUUAUCUCGCAAUUGACCUGUUUCAGCGCCGCACAGAUAAGUGGAGGAUCAUAUCAGUUGAUAUGGACAAUGAACAUGCAUGCUGCGUUAGACAAUUGAUGUUUCCUGUAGAAUAUGUAAAUACCGUUGCAUGCGGAUCACUAUUUACCGAUAAUACAACUGCGGACUGUACGAUC